GGCCUUUUUUGUAUACCAAAAUUUUGCAAAUGAUUAUAAAAUUUCAUCUCGUAGAGGCGCCCACACUUUUUCGAUUUCACGUGGCAGUGUACCAUAUCUUAAACUGCCCAAAGCUGAUAGAAAUGCCAAUUCAGGAGCAGAAUAAGUGGUAGAAGACUCCAGGAAGUUGACUGAAGCACAAGAGACCUGAUAGUGAAUGGCUUAAGUUUUUCCAAGAAGUGCCAACCUAAUGUAGAGGGACAUCAAAAACUGC
rnacentral:lncRNA from 1 species